UAAGUUUAUCAGUGUGUUUAAUUUUGGAGGCAUUUUUUCCGGAUGGUUAUUUUGGAGGUCACGGCUCUUAUUUCUCCUUUGGACUCUUCUCUCUCCUUUUUUAAUUUUCAAACCGUUCGUCUUCCGUAUUCCAUCGUCCGUCCCUUGCGUUUUUAUUCUCGCAGAAGAUGAUUUCUUCUCAGCUGGUCGGCGGUGCAGCAAUGGCGGGUCGAAGGUGGUGAUUAUCAGCGAACUAAAAGGGGCGGGGCAGUCGUGUGUGGCGGCCAAACGAGUUUCACACAACCUUAGAAUUAGAAUUCUAAGGACAAAGUGGAUUCUGGAGUUUAUCUUAUGCGCCACAUGGAAAGUUACGCUAGUGAAGGUGUAGCUAGAUGGGAGUGCGGUCUCGUUAGGGGUGAUUGAGCUGAGCUGGAUCGCUUAUGCUUGCACUACAUGAAGAAGAUUUGCAUAGUGGAUAUAAAUUCCCACCGUACGAGCAAAAUCACACAAAGCGUUACGCUUUCUUUCCCCUCCUUUGGCUACCAGCAAGGAUUGAUGUAGAUUGUUGGUUUUGUGCACUAUUUUGGCAUCACCAUUUUGACAUGUUUGUUGUUUAUCAUGGAAGUCCCCCUAUGUGUUGUUUAGUGGUAGCUUAUUUUUGUGGACAGUGUAUAUUUGACAUCAGUGUUGUUUAUCAUAGCAUUCCCCUAGGGUUUUGAUCAAUGAUAGCUUCUAUUUGUGGUCA